rnacentral:lncRNA from 1 species
GUUGAGAUUACUCAUUCUAUAAGAUUUUAGGUGCUAAUACAAUUGAGAUUCGACUUUCUUCGAGCUUGUGGGAACGAGGCAACAAUGUAUGCUCUGACAAAGCCUCACUGAAAGGAUCAAGAUGCACUUUACUUGGAUAAGAGAACAGAGAAAAAAUUUAAGUGGACCUGCAUGACUAAAGUAAGUUAGAAAGUUAAACAGUCGAUUCAUAUGGUAUAACAAAAUGGAACAAGUACGUGAACAGAACUAGAACAAUUAGAAGAAUUUCAAUUUUCAAUAAAAUUUUCAAUGAAAUAACAAAUAAAAGGCAAUAAUAUUAUGCAAAAUUGACCCUU